GGGCGUGUAACGCAGUGGUAGCGUGCCUCAUUCGCAGGAUUAGCUAAGCUUACGUAAUUUGCUUACGUAAUCUUGAGGAAGCCGUGGGUUCAAUUCCCACCUCGUCCA